GAAAUCAGAUAACAUAAUGUAAUAGCUCCGGACUGGAUAAACCUUUGGUUCGGUUGUGUAAAGUAAACAUACCCCUUAAGGCCUUGUUCAGUUUCUUUAAAUUUAAAGGCGUUUGGAGGGGAUUGAGAGGAAUUAAAUCCCCUACAAGUUAAAUUUCACCUAAAUCCCCUUCAAUCCUCUCCAAUUCCCUUCUAGGAAGGAUUAACCGAACAAGGCCUAACAGUGUUUGGCUUGGCACAGUAAAGAAAAGAUGGAUUAGUAACCAUAAACUCAAGAUCAGCAGGAGGAAGUUGAUGGAGGAGGAAGAUUUUGAUUGA
rnacentral:lncRNA from 1 species